rnacentral:rRNA from 1 species
CCUACGGGAGGCAGCAGUAAGGAAUAUUGGACAAUGCCCGCAAGGGUGAUCCAGCCAUGCCGCGUGCAGGAAGAAGGCCCUAUGGGUCGUAAACUGCUUUUACACCGGAGAAAACCUCCCUUCGUGAAGGGAGCUGAUAGUAUGGUGAGAAUAAGCAUCGGCUAACUUCGUGCCAGCAGCCGCGGUAAGACGAAGGAUGCAAGCGUUAUCCGGAUUCAUUGGGUUUAAAGGGAGCGUAGGUGGACUGAUAAGUCAGUGGUGAAAUCUUCGAGCUUAACUCGGAAAAUUGCCAUUGAUACUGUUAGUCUUGAGUACAGUUGCUGUGGGCGGAAUAUGACAUGUAGUGGUGAAAUACAUAGAGAUGUCAUAGAACACCGAUUGCGAAGGCAGCUCACAAAGCUGUAACUGACACUGAGGCUCGAAAGUGCGGGGAUCAAACAGGAUUAGAUACCCUGGUAUCCGCACUGUAAACGAUGAUUACUCGCUGCUAGAGGGCAACUUUUAGUGGCUUAGCGAAAAGCGAUAAGUAAUCCACCUGGGGAGUACGCCGGNAACGGUGAAAACUCAAAUGAAUUGACGG